CAGGUGGUGCAUGGUUGUCGUCAGCUCGUGUCGUGAGAUGUUGGGUUAAGUCCCGCAACGAGCGCAACCCUUGUCUUUAGUUGCCAGCAUUAAGUUGGGCACUCUAGAGAGACUGCCAGGGAUAACCUGGAGGAAGGUGGGGAUGACGUCAAAUCAUCAUGCCCCUUAUGCUUAGGGCUACACACGUGCUACAAUGGGUAGUACAGAGGGUUGC
rnacentral:rRNA from 1 species